AUGGGCGACGUUCCACCGGUGGUGGUGGUGGCGGCGGCGGAGCUCCACCAUUCUCCCCUGCCCGGCUUCCGGUUCUACCCGACCGACCAAGAGCUCGUCGUCUGCUUCCUCACCCGCAAGGUCCUCGGCCUCCCCAUGGACCUCGACAUCAUCCCCGUGGUGGACUACUGUAGGUUCGAACCCCACCAGCUACCAGACAAGUCCUUCUCACCCAGCACAGACGACCCCGGGGCCAAAGUGGUGUGGUACUUUUUCGCGCCAAGGAGCCGAAAGUACCCAACCGGGCUUCGCAUCAAGCGGGCAACACUGAACGGGUUCUGGAAGUCCACCGGGAAAGACCGCCCCGUCAUGCACAACGGCGCCAUCGUUGGCAUGAAGAAGACGCUCGUGUUCCACGCCGGCCGUGCGCCUACGGGCAUGCGCACCGACUGGGUCAUGCACGAGUACCGCCUCCACGGCGAUCCAAUGCACUUUGUGCCCGACAGCGUUGACAUGAACCCUGAUCUGAUGGAAUACAUGUUUGACGGCGCCAACUCGGACACGUACUUGAACUUCACGCUUGAAGGCAUCAAGACGGACAACGGUCCAAUUGUGAACAAUGAUCUGAUGCAUUUCUUGCUCGACGGGGUCGACACGGACAAGGAUCCCAUACAAGUUGAGUCCAUGUCCGAUGAUGCUGUCGCGGGCAAUGGAGGGGUGCAACUCCUCAGUGGUGGUGGCGACAAGGGCAAGGGAGGAGUGCAAGAAAAUACAGAGGCAUGGAUGACGCUGUUGAUCGUCCACAGAGUGGUUCCCCGAUCGGCGUGGAAGCUAUCGGAGGCAGGAAUCCGGUUCCUGCCCAACAAGACGGGUUGCCUCGACGACAUCGACCUGGACAACGGGAGGCUCUACAUGCCAAAGGUCGUGCUGGACGACUCCACCGCCUACAGGAUCCACAACAUGAUGGUGUUCGAGGCGAUGCAUGUCAGCACCCGCAACGACGUCACGGCGUACGUGUUGUUCAUCAAGGACCUCGUCGACUCUGUGGACGACGUGCGCCUGCUGGAGUGGAAGGGGAUCCUGGAGCAUGACCUCCCGACAACCAUGCCGCUGUGGUGA
rnacentral:rRNA from 1 species